CAUGUUGGUAUUAACUCUCGUGGAUUGC
rnacentral:piRNA from 1 species